rnacentral:rRNA from 1 species
AUUGAACGCUGGCGGCAUGCUUUACACAUGCAAGUCGAACGGUAACAGGCCGCAAGGUGCUGACGAGUGGCGAACGGGUGAGUAAUGCAUCGGAACGUGCCCAGUCGUGGGGGAUAACGCAGCGAAAGCUGCGCUAAUACCGCAUACGAUCUAUGGAUGAAAGCGGGGGACCGAAAGGCCUCGCGCGAUUGGAGCGGCCGAUGUCAGAUUAGGUAGUUGGUGGGGUAAAGGCUCACCAAGCCAACGAUCUGUAGCUGGUCUGAGAGGACGACCAGCCACACUGGGACUGAGACACGGCCCAGACUCCUACGGGAGGCAGCAGUGGGGAAUUUUGGACAAUGGACGCAAGCCUGAUCCAGCAAUGCCGCGUGCAGGAAGAAGGCCUUCGGGUUGUAAACUGCUUUUGUACGGAACGAAACGGUCCGGGUUAAUACCUUGGGCUAAUGACGGUACCGUAAGAAUAAGCACCGGCUAACUACGUGCCAGCAGCCGCCGUAAAAC